rnacentral:rRNA from 1 species
UUGAAAGGGAAACGAUUGAAGUCAGUCAUGCUGGUGGGAAUCAACUUAGGGGAAACUCUNGGUGCACUUCUUCGCUUGGCAGGUCAACGUCGAUUUUGAAUGUCAUAAAAUAAUUGGGGAAGGUAGCUCCUUCGGGAGUGUUAUAGCCCUUGAUAGAUGUGAUGUUUGAGGUCGAGGAUUGCAACGGAUACCCUUUGGGGCUAGCUGCCUGAUCUCUAAUUGGUGUUGGGUUACGGAUAGCAUGCUGACCGUGAUCUAAUUACUGGUUAAAAGGUUAGAGUAUGCAUAAAUUCGUUAAGGAUGUUGACGUA